GGGGUCGUGGCUUAGUGGUAGAGUGCUUGCCUAGCACGCAUGAGGCACUGGGUUUGAUCCUCAGCACCACA
rnacentral:tRNA from 1 species